GACGUAGGGCGCAAGCGUUGUCCGGAUUUAUUGGGCGUAAAGAGCUCGUAGGCGGUUUGUCGCGUCUGCUGUGAAAACCCGAGGCUCAACCUCGGGCCUGCAGUGGGUACGGGCAGACUAGAGUGCGGUAGGGGAGAUUGGAAUUCCUGGUGUAGCGGUGGAAUGCGCAGAUAUCAGGAGGAACACCGAUGGCGAAGGCAGAUCUCUGGGCCGUAACUGACGCUGAGGAGCGAAAGCAUGGGGAGCGAACAGG
rnacentral:rRNA from 1 species